GCAGACACAUUCCAGCCAAUCAGCAGCAGACCCUCCCUCCCAGACCCUCCCACCUCCUGGACAGCAUCCAUUUUGAAGCUGCAUUCUUAGUGAGCUGUCCAGGAAGUGGGAGGGUCUGGGAGGGAGGGUCUGCUGCUGAUUGGCUGGAAUGUGUCUG